rnacentral:rRNA from 1 species
GAUGAACGCUGACAGAAUGCUUAACACAUGCAAGUCUUUGGCGAAGCUGUGCUUGCACAGCCUAGCCAAGGCGGACGGGUGAGUAACGCGUAAGGGACUUGCCCUGCAGUCAGGGAUAACAGACGGAAACGACUGAUAAAACCUGGUAAAGUCAGGCGGACUCAUGUCCAGCCUGAUGAAAAGGAAUGCUGCAGGAGAGCCUUGCGUCCUAUUAGCUCGUUGGUGGGGUAACGGCCCACCAAGGCGAUGAUAGGUAGCCGGCCUGAGAGGGUGGACGGCCACAAGGGGACUGAGAUACGGCCCUUACUCCUACGGGAGGCAGCAGUGGGGAAUAUUGGACAAUGGGGGCAACCCUGAUCCAGCAAUUCUGUGUGCACGAUGAAGGUCUUCGGAUUGUAAAGUGCUUUCAGCAGGGAAGAAAAAAAUGACGGUACCUGCAGAAGAAGCGACGGCUAAAUACGUGCCAGCAGCCGCGGUAAUACGUAUGUCGCGAGCGUUAUCCGGAAUUAUUGGGCAUAAAGGGCAUCUAGGCGGCCGGAUAAGUCUGGGGUGAAAACUUGCGGCUCAACCGCAAGCCUGCCCUGGAAACUAUGCGGCUAGAGUACUGGAGAGGUGGACGGAACUGCACGAGUAGAGGUGAAAUUCGUAGAUAUGUGCAGGAAUGCCGAUGAUGAAGAUAGCUCACUGGACGGUAACUGACGCUGAAGUGCGAAAGCUAGGGGAGCAAACAGG